CGCGCCCUAGCAGAAUACUCCUGAAAUUGGCAGCGCCAGCCCAAAUCAGUGCGACGCCCGUUGGUGGAGGUGGCGGCGGGGGCCUCCGGCCGCUCUGCCCGAGGCAUGGCCGUGCUGGUCCCCCAAAGCCAGCGGUCCGAGCCAAGGUCACAAAGCUCCACGACUCGUCCACCUCCCACAGUUGCACUCGGCUAGUCGGUCCCCCACUCCCGGUUCCCCGAGCUCGGCCCGCCGCGCGGCCUCAGUUUCCCCGCGGGCCCGGCCAGGGCGGGGGCGUGGCGGACCCGGAGGCGGGCCGCGUACCUGUGGAAGGAGACAGCGCGUUUCUCGCCCUUGCCCUGCCUGUUGGAACAGUUCACGGCCGCGCAGCAGAUCACCAUUGCGGGCCUCGGUCGUGAGCGUCGCCAGGCUCCGAUCCUUGCCGCCCGCCCGCUGGCCCGACCCGCCCCGAGGGAGUGCGGCGACACAGCUCGGGACGUGGGCCGCGGUCGAGCCGUACGGCAAGAUGGCUGCGCGCUGCCGCCCGCACCACGCUGCGCUCGGGCUGCCCCGCCACGGCGCCAGCGUCGCGGCCGCA
rnacentral:lncRNA from 1 species